UACGAAGGGGGCUAGCGUUGCUCGGAAUUACUGGGCGUAAAGGGCGCGUAGGCGGACAGUUUAGUCAGAGGUGAAAGCCCAGGGCUCAACCUUGGAAUUGCCUUUGAUACUGAGAGUCUUGAGUCCGGGAGAGGUGAGUGGAACUGCGAGUGUAGAGGUGAAAUCGUAGAUAUUCGCAAGAACACCAGUGGCGAAGGCGGCUCACUGGCCCGGUACUGACGCUGAGGUGCGAAAGCGUGGGGAGCAAACAGG
rnacentral:rRNA from 1 species